UAGCAGUAAACAAAAUAAAGAAAACUUACCAGAAAGAGCUGGAAAUUAUUCUUGCGAUCUUCGAUGAGGGGUUCGUCGAACUCACCCUGAGAUAGAAAUGUCAUCGUACGAACUUCCUCUAAAUCAUAUUAAAGGUGGCAUUUGCGUGCGCAUAACACACACGUGCAAUAUUAUGAGCGUUUUUCCGCAUCUAAGAUUGGUCAAUAUUUGAAUAAAUCAGUAAACUUGGAGCUUGAUGCUUUGAUGAAAAUCGAAAGUAAUUAUCGAAUAGUUUUACGAGAUCAUUUUUCAUUCAUCAAGGUUAUCGAAACCGGUGAGAAAACGUGCAUCGAGAUAUCGAUUUUGCAAUUUUGACGAUGGGAAACCUGAUUUUAAUAGUUAUAG